GAUGAACGCUGGCGGCGUGCUUAACACAUGCAAGUCGAACGGGAAUUACUUUAUUGAAACUUCGGUCGAUUUAAUUUAAUUCUAGUGGCGGACGGGUGAGUAACGCGUGGGUAACCUGCCUUAUACAGGGGGAUAACAGUCAGAAAUGGCUGCUAAUACCGCAUAAGCGCACAGAGCUGCAUGGCUCAGUGUGAAAAACUCCGGUGGUAUAAGAUGGACCCGCGUUGGAUUAGCUAGUUGGUGGGGUAACGGCCCACCAAGGCGACGAUCCAUAGCCGGCCCGAGAGGGUGAACGGCCACAUUGGGACUGAGACACGGCCCAGACUCCUACGGGAGGCAGCAGUGGGGAAUAUUGCACAAUGGGGGAAACCCUGAUGCAGCGACGCCGCGUGAAGGAAGAAGUAUCUCGGUAUGUAAACUUCUAUCAGCAGGGAAGAUAGUGACGGUAC
rnacentral:rRNA from 1 species